rnacentral:rRNA from 1 species
CCCUUAGAUGUUCUGGGCCGCACGCGUGCUACACUGAGUGGAUCAGCGGGUCAGGUUGCGCGAAAGUGUUUCCUAAUCUUUAAAUCCGCUCGUGAUGGGGAUUGACGGUUGCAAUUUUCCGUCAUGAACGAGGAAUACCUUGUAAGCGCGGGUCAUCAUCCCGCGCUGAAUACGUCCCUGCCCUUUGUACACACCGCCCGUCGCUCCUACCGAUUGAGUGGUCCGGUGAGGCUUUGGGAUCUGAGCGGAAAGAGCGUUUCGCUGUUUCUGCCCGGAAAACUCAGUCGAACCUUAUCAUUUAGAGGACGGAGAAGUCGUAACA